UACAGAGGUCUCAAGCGUUGUUCGGAUUCAUUGGGCGUAAAGGGCGCGUAGGCGGCGGGGCAAGUCGGGUGUGAAAUCUCAGAGCUCAACUCUGAAACUGCACUCGAUACUGCUUUGCUUGAGGACUGGAGAGGAGAUUGGAAUUCACGGUGUAGCAGUGAAAUGCGUAGAUAUCGUGAGGAAGACCAGUGGCGAAGGCGGAUCUCUGGACAGUUCCUGACGCUGAGGCGCGAAGGCCAGGGGAGCAAACGGG
rnacentral:rRNA from 1 species